CGACGAAGCGCCACCGUAAACCACCAUCCCUAACUUUUUCAAACAUCAAAACUUAAACUCGAAUCCUACUUUAUCUCUAAUCCUAAACGCGAGUAUGAACCUGGAUUUCAACUAAUCUCCCUCACUCAACGGGAUCGAAGAAGGAAAUCGGAAACCCUAAGAAUUGGGGCUUCAUCAUUCAAACGCAAUUACAUGGAAUUGAAGCAUACAGAGUACUGAUAGAAUUAUAGACAGACAUACGGGAGUUAAGGAAUGCUUAAACGGAACCUGUCACGUCGACCUGAGCUUCCGGUGCGGUGGCGGAGAUUCCCGACCAUCGCGAACUCAGGGCCUUUAUCUUGAAUGAAUUUUGAGCAUUAAAAGCUACAAGGCUUGAAGCUUGAAGUCUGAAGAUGUGUGAUGCAUAAGAGGAUGACUCAUGGUUCUGGCUGGAGAGCAAAAGGAGAGCUCGCAAACGAAUGGAACCUAAUGUUCGGAGGAUGGUGAACUUACAGAUUGGGGCAAAAAGUCUUGAAGAAUAGGUUUUAGUGUUUGUGUAGUAUUGUAUGGCUCGGUUUAGCCUUAGUGAUGACAUGUACGCAGGGCUGCCAUUGGCUUGUGAAUGUAUGUGUUUUGCUGUACUGUGAUGUGUUUGUGACUGUGUGAACAUUUGGUCUCUUGUAAAGAAUCAUGGUUUAGAAUGAAA